UACGUAGGGUGCAAGCGUUGUCCGGAAUUAUUGGGCGUAAAGAGCUCGUAGGCGGCUUGUCGCGUCGGCUGUGAAAACCUGGGGCUCAACCCUGGGCCUGCAGCCGAUACGGGCAAGCUAGAAUUCGGUAGGGGAGACUGGAAUUCCUGGUGUAGCGGUGAGAUGCGCAGAUAUCAGGAGGAACACCGGUGGCGAAGGCGGGUCUCUGGGCCGAUAUUGACGCUGAGGAGCGAAAGCGUGGGGAGCGAACAGG
rnacentral:rRNA from 1 species